GGGCGCUUAGCUCAGUUGGUAGAGCACCUCGUUUACACCGAGGGUGUCGGGGGUUCGAGUCCCUCAGCGCCCACCA
rnacentral:tRNA from 1 species